GUCGUGAGGCUUUAGGGGUUGAAAGAUCCCCGAAUGGGUAACGCUCCGGCCCGACGGACAGAAAUCGCAUAUAAGGCCGGAAGGAAGGGUGAGUUUGCAACCCAAAGCAAAGCCCAAUCGCUACCGGUCAUCGCUUUUCGGUAAACGCGGCAGGUAAAGGGAGAGAACG
rnacentral:ncRNA from 1 species